rnacentral:lncRNA from 12 species
CUCCAACAACAAUAAAAGUUUUGGUAAUCUGUUAGGUUAAAAAUAGCAACAACCUCCCUGGUCAGCUGGGGUGCUACUUUGUAGGCAGAUGCAGAAAAGGCAAUGAGGGAGAGAAGUCGUAAAUAGCAGCUCUGUUUCAUACACAGUUGUCCAAAUGAGAGUAAUUACCCCACGAACCUAUUUUGUUGCAUAACACACCUCAAUUUCUGAUUUAUUUUCUUCCUCCUUCAGCAUUGUAUUCGGACUAUGCUGCUUACCAUUGGCUUCAGCAAUACUGACUUUCAAUGUGCAUUGAUGGUGUCUGCAUAUGAGGAAUAAGCAUCACCUAGGAAUCCUGGAUUUUGAACAUUUUCAAAUUAAUUGGAUCAAAUACCAUCAUCCAGAGUUAAACUUAGGAGGGAUGAUGGCACUCUGAAGUA